GGAGCUGUGACUCAGUGGUAGAGCAUUUGUUUUGAAUGCAGAAGGUCACAGGUUUGAUCGCCAGCAUUUCCA
rnacentral:tRNA from 1 species